rnacentral:rRNA from 1 species
GAUGAACGCUGGCGGCGUGCCUAAUACAUGCAAGUCGAGCGAAUGGAUUGAGAGCUUGCUCUUAUGAAGUUAGCGGCGGACGGGUGAGUAACACGUGGGUAACCUGCCCAUAAGCCUGGGAUAACUCCGGGAAACCGGGGCUAAUACCGGCUAACAUUUUGAGCCGCAUGGUUCGAAAUUGAAAGGCGGCUUCGCAUGUCACGUAUGGACGGACCGGCGUCGCAUUAGCUAGUUGGUGAGGUAACGGCUCACCAAGGCAACGAUGCGUAGCCGACCUGAGAGGGUGAUCGGCCACACUGGGACUGAGACACGGCCCAGACUCCUACGGUAGGCAGCAGUAGGGAAUCUUCCGCAAUGGACGAAAGUCUGACGGAGCAACGCCGCGUGAGUGAUGAAGGCUUUCGGGUCGUAAAACUCUGUUGUUAGGGAAGAACAAGUGCUAGUUGAAUAAGCUGGCACCUUGACGGUACCUAACCAGAAAGCCACGGCUAACUACGUGCCAGCAGCCGCAGUAA